UAUAGAGGCCUCUACGCUUCUGAUUAGGCCUAGUGGUGGAGGUUAUGGUCCAACAAGGCUGAUCCGUAGCGUUUGAGAGAAGCACAGCACAUGAUGAGAGAACGAACAGACUCUACGGAGCAGCAGUGGGAUAUUUGCAUUGAGCGAAGCUGACAGCGAUGCCGUGUUGGAGAUGAUGCUAGGGUGUAAACUCCUUUCCUGUUGAAGAAGUCUGACGGUAUACAAGGAAUAAGCAUCGGCUAACCCUGUGCCAGCAGCCGCGGUAAUACAGGGGAUGCAAGCGUUGUCCGGAAUUAUUGGGCGUAAAGCGUCUGUAGAUGGUUUAUUAAGUUUUUUGUUAAAUGUCAGAGCUUAACUUUGGAAUUGCAUUAAAUACUGGUAAACUUGAGUACAAUAAAGGUAAAGGGAAUUUCCAGUGUAGCGGUGAAAUGCGUAGAUAUUGGAAAGAACACCAACGGCGAAGGCACUUUACUGGGUUGAUACUGACAUUGAGAGACGAUAGCUAGGGGAGCAAAAAGGAUUAGAUACCCUUGUAGUCCUAGCUGUAAACGAUGGAUACUAAAUGAUGCUCUUUUGCAUUGUUGUAGCUAACGCGUUAAGUAUCCCGCCUGGGGAGUAAGCUUGCAAAAGUGAAACUCAAAGGAAUUGACGGGGGCUCGCACAAGCGGUGGAGCAUGCGGUUUAAUUCGAUGAUACACGAAGAACCUUACCAAGGCUUGACAUGUUAAGAAGUCAUUUGAAAAUUUGAUGUGCCAUUUAUUUGGAGCUUAAACACAGGUGGUGCAUGGCUGUCGUCAGUUCGUGUCGUGAGAUAUUGGGUUAAGUCCCGCAACGAACGCAACCCUCUUUUUUAGUUAUUUUACUAGAAAUACUGCCAAUGACAAAUUGGAGGAAGGUGAGGAUGACGUCAAGUCAUCAUGCCCCUUAUGUCUUGGGCUACACGCGUGCUACAAUGGUUAAGACAACGAGUUACAAACUUGUGAAAGUAAGUCAAUCUCUUAAACUUAAUCUUAGUUCGGAUUGUAGGCUGAAACUCGCCUACAUGAAGGUGGAAUCGCUAGUAAUCGCCGGUCAGCUAUACGGCGGUGAAUACGUUCUCGAGCCUUGUACACACCGCCCGUCACACCUCGGAAAUUGGCCAAGCCUAAAGUAGUAUGUUUAACUUUUGGGGACAACUAUCAGGGUUGGGCUGGUGACUGAGGUGAAGUCGUAACAAGGUAACCA
rnacentral:rRNA from 1 species